CCCGGCGACCGGCGCACGGGUGAGUAACGCGUAUGCAACUUACCUAUCAGAGGGGGAUAACCCGGCGAAAGUCGGACUAAUACCGCAUGAAGCAGGGGCCCCGCAUGGGGAUAUUUGCUAAAGAUUCAUCGCUGAUAGAUAGGCAUGCGUUCCAUUAGGCAGUUGGCGGGGUAACGGCCCACCAAACCGACGAUGGAUAGGGGUUCUGAGAGGAAGGUCCCCCACAUUGGUACUGAGACACGGACCAAACUCCUACGGGAGGCAGCAG
rnacentral:rRNA from 1 species